rnacentral:rRNA from 1 species
AUGGCGGAUGCGCUGGCCGCCGGGAACCGGGAACACCAGUACGCCACCGUCGGGGACGUCGUCAGGCAGGGUUCUCUAAGCGACGGAAGGCCGGCGGCAAGUGGUGCGGCGAGUGCCAAGCUUCUAGAGGGCGCCGCGGGUAUGGCGGCAGGGACCAAAGAAACCAAUGGUGAGCACAUGAAACCAAUGACGCACAUGGACCAAUUCAAGCAUUUAAAGCUCUGUAGUUGCUUUGGUUAUGUUCAUGCUUCUCGUCGUUCUGCCAUUCCAGUACAUACGCAAGAGGAUGCAGUACAAGUGACUUCCUCGUCCAGGCUCCUCAAGUACAGUAACUCAUGCGGGACACCCAGCUCCAGAGUGGCAGCGACCUGGAGUCCGGCAGAGUCCAUAGGCUGCAGACACACCAAUUCGCAUAUGAGGAGCUGGAGGAGCCCACCGGCGGCUUCAGCGACAUGUGAGAGCUCGGCGGCCAGCGACGGCUUCGGCACCAUGCAUGCACAAACGAUAACUGCAGGACAGGCGGGUAGUGGUGGUGAAGCAGUUGUACGACAACAGCUGCUGGCACGUGCAGCAGUUCAUGAACUAGGCGACGAUCCUGAACCUCGCUAUCUUCUAUGGAUCCUGUCGCAUCCGCACCACCUAAACCUCGUCAUCUUCUACAGCUGCACGUCCAGCCGCAACCGUGAGCUGCUGCUGGUGUACGAGUAG